rnacentral:rRNA from 1 species
ACUCCUACGGGAGGCAGCAGUGGGGAAUUUUGGACAAUGGGCGAAAGCCUGAUCCAGCAAUGCCGCGUGAGUGAAGAAGGCCUUCGGGUUGUAAAGCUCUUUUGUCAGGGAAGAAACGGUGAGAGCUAAUAUCUCUUGCUAAUGACGGUACCUGAAGAAUAAGCACCGGCUAACUACGUGCCAGCAGCCGCGGUAAUACGUAGGGUGCAAGCGUUAAUCGGAAUUACUGGGCGUAAAGCGUGCGCAGGCGGUUUUGUAAGUCUGAUGUGAAAUCCCCGGGCUCAACCUGGGAAUUGCAUUGGAGACUGCAAGGCUAGAAUCUGGCAGAGGGGGGUAGAAUUCCACGUGUAGCAGUGAAAUGCGUAGAUAUGUGGAGGAACACCGAUGGCGAAGGCAGCCCCCUGGGUCAAGAUUGACGCUCAUGCACGAAAGCGUGGGGAGCAAACAGGAUUAGAAACCCCGGUAGUCCCAU